rnacentral:rRNA from 1 species
GUAUCAUGGCUCAGGAUGAACGCUAGCGGCAGGCCUAACACAUGCAAGUCGAGGGGCGAUCGGGAUUGAAGCUUGCUUCAAUUGCCGGCGACCGGCGCACGGGUGCGUAACGCGUAUGUAACCUACCUAUAACAGGGGCAUAACACUGAGAAAUUGGUACUAAUUCCCCAUAAUAUUCGGAGAGGCAUCUCUCCGGGUUGAAAACUCCGGUGGUUAUAGGAUGGACAUGCGUUGUAUUAG